UACGUAGGGUGCGAGCGUUGUCCGGAAUUAUUGGGCGUAAAGAGCUUGUAGGCGGUUUGUCGCGUCUGCUGUGAAAAUCCGAGGCUCAACCUCGGACUUGCAGUGGGUACGGGCAGACUAGAGUGUGGUAGGGGAGACUGGAAUUCCUGGUGUAGCGGUGAGAUGCGCAGAUAUCAGGAGGAACACCAAUGGCGAAGGCAGGUCUCUGGGCAGUUACUGACGCUGAGGAGCGAAAGCAUGGGUAGCGAACAGGA
rnacentral:rRNA from 1 species